UGUAAUGUUUGUGCUUAAUCAUAUUGGUAAAUCUUGUGUGGUAAUCACAAGACAAAUUUUUCUCCUAAAUUGAGUCCUUUUCAAGACAUGGUGAUACAAGGUAAUACAAUUUACUUUAAAUGUUAGUUAAUAUUGACUUGAGAUGUUUUUAUUCAGUAGCAUGAGUAAUGCUAACACUAAACUAAGAUAUGUGUGUCUAUCUGUUUCUCUAAGGUAUUAACCCACCCCAGAAAGUUUAUGCUAAACCUGAAGAUGUGGGAGAGAACAGUAUAAUAAUUCAGUGGGAACCCCCACAAGAUGGCCAUGAGGUCUACAUUCAAGUCAAAUCCAUAUCAGAUACAAGAGAAGUCAUCAAGCUUUUUGUAAAGGAUGCUAAUAGAUUCAAGAUUGAUAAUUUAAUCCCUGGGAUGACAUAUGACAUUGGAGUGGCAACAGUGAUGAAUGGGAACUUGAGUGAGCUGGUAACUCUUCAACAAACUCUAAAGCCCAAACCAGCUCAAAUUGUUAUCCCUUAUGAAAGUCAUAGUACCUCUGUCAUCUUAUUUGUUCAAAUGCCUGAUAUCGGAGUGUUUGAUGGCGUACAUAUCGCAGUUGAAGGAGGGCCAAAUGUAACCAUGCCUUUACAGGGUGACAAUAAAUUUACUGUUGACAAGUUAACUCCAGGAACAGAAUAUAACUUCUUUGUUUCCGUCAUCAGUGGAACUAAAUUAAGUAAUAUGUAUUAUGUGCCUGCAGUAAAAACAUGUCUAGAAGCUCCAUCAAAUAUCCUUGAGGGCAAAGUUACAGACUCUUCCAUAGAAAUUCUCUGGAAUCGAGCUGAUGGGAAUUUCCAGCAUUAUGAAGUAACAUGCAUAAGCUGUGCCGCUGCUUUCACGGUACGUUAUCCGGGCUCUGGGAGGAAUUCAUCUUGA
rnacentral:lncRNA from 1 species